GGCUUCGUAGCUCAGCUGGUACAGAGCUUGCCGUGCUGAGGCAUGCUGUUGUUGUCGCUGGUUCGAAUCCAGCCAAAGCUC
rnacentral:tRNA from 1 species